AACAUAUCAAUAAGCGGAGGAAAAGAAGACUAACAAGGAUUCCCCUAGUAACGGCGAGUGAAGAGGGAAGAGCCCAAGAUUGAAAGCUGGCGUCUUCGGCGUCCGCAUUGUAAUCUCAAGAAGUGUUUUCCGCUUCGGACCAUGCCUAAGUCCCUUGGAAAAGGGCAUCAUAGAGGGUGAUAAUCCCGUACAUGGCAUGGAGCGCCCGUAGCUUUGUGAUACGCUUUCUAAGAGUCGAGUUGUUUGGGAAUGCAGCUCAAAAUGGGUGGUAAAUGCCAUCUAAGGCUAAAUAUUGGGGAGAGACCGAUAGCGAACAAGUACAGUGAUGGAAAGAUGAAAAGAACUUUGAAAAGAGAGUUAAACAGUACGUGAAAUUGCCAAAAGGGAAGGGUAGGAGGUCAGAGAUGCGUCUUGGGAUUCAGCCUUGCUUUUGCCUGGUGUUUUUCCCAAGCUGCAGGCCAACGUCGGUUUUGGGCACUGGAGAAGGGUAGGAGGAACGUGGCACCUCUCGGGGUGUGUUAUAGCCUCCUACUGGAUACAGCGACCGAGACCGAGGAACGCAGCGUACUCGUAAGAGCGGGCCUUUUGGCACCUUUACGCUUAGGGCGUUGGCAUAAUGGCCCUCUACCACCCGUCUUGAAA
rnacentral:rRNA from 1 species